rnacentral:lncRNA from 1 species
CUAGGCUCCUCAGGAGACAAGUUGCUUCUUCCUCACUAGCUGAAAUGAUGAGCUACACCGGGGGCUGCUGUCCUGGAUCGAUUGAAUGUGCUGAUGCCCUGACACCCUUUGCAGAUACCAGACGUAUUUAGUACUUAGGGCAUGCCUCCAUACUGCUCUGUUUAUUCUGAGCCUCCUAGAAACCAUAUGUCUGUGAUUCAUGGGGCAUUGAGCCUGGGCUAAUCAGCUAUGUUGACAGGCAGGGUAUAUUUUAUUGAGCUUAGUGCAACCUUAAUGUUGUCGUGCUGUUUCCAGAAUACUUUGUGUGGAUGUGCCUGUGAUCAGAGGAGCUUAAAGUGACUUGGAAUUUGUCCCUGUCCAGUUCAGACAGCGUGACCUUUAAAGAGACUGUGAAGCAAUACUUCUUCCUUUUUCCUCUGUGCCCAAAGGCCAAUCCAGGACAAGGAGGUUUUGAAGGGACACAAGAAAAACAGAGCCAAAGUAAACACCAGCAAGGAAAGAGGAGCGGGGAGGAAGAAACAGAAAUAGCGGUGGAAAUCUGUCAGGGAGUAACCUCAUCAAGCAAGUGGUGUGCUUUUACUGCUGCUCAUCAUAGCCUUGCAGGGGGGAAAGGAGGCUGGCAGACCUCUGUGUGGAGAUUCAGAUGGAUCACUUUACCAGCUGUCAAGGCCAAUACUUCUGUACAGUCCCUGCUCUCAGCAACAUCCUCAGUGUCCUGGUGGUGGGGUGUCUUGGAAGGACUGUGCAGAUCAAGCUUCACACUCCCUCUGCACUUGAGGCUCUCUCUGCUCUGCCUUGUCUUCCCUGGACAAUGGAUGUAUUUUUCCCUACACCUUGGCUAAUGUGCAGUAACUAACAUGAGGUAAGCUGUAGUUGUAAUAUGAGUUAGCAGGGUGACGUGGCUCUUGGCCUCUUGGCAAAGUAUUCCCAUACUCCCUUGUCUUUGUGACAGUUUUAUCAAAUGUCAGCUCAUGUGUGCUAAGAAUAGGUCUUGCUGCUCUCUGCCUCAACAGAAGUGACCUCAGCCCUGACCUGGAGCUUCCCUGUCUCGAGUAGGGAUUGUUCAUGUGCCAGAGCCAUUCCAGCCGCAGUUCCUUAGCCCCCUGAGGUAGAAAUCUGUGCCCUGGUCUGCUCGAAAUUAGAGCUUUGGUGAUGCAAACCUAUUGAACAGCCCUUGACUGGCAGUCACUGUCACUCAUUGUCAACCUGAGCUUGUUUUGAGGAACCAGCUAUUGAAAACUUUUUUUUUUUUUUCUCUUAAAUUUUCCUUUGUAAGGAAGAUACGUGUUAAUAUCAGAUACUUAAGAAAAGGAGAAAUUGGAUCUGAUCUAUUUGUUUUUGUGCCACGCCAUCAUUCCAGGUGACCUAGUUUAAGAUUGUGAUGAGAUCUGAAGAGCAGAGUAUUGAAAAUGUUGUUUGUGAGAGCCUCUGCACCAGAGCAGUAUGGGGUAAAAUCAACUUAAUGAGAUGCUGGAUCAUCCAUAGAAUGCAUCUCUCUGUAAAUACUCAGUGGAUUUAUUUUCCUAGAGGAACACAAUGAACCACUCACAGGAAUGUACUUUUCUAAGGCUUGAAAAAAAUAAGUAGACAAUUUAGUUCUUUUAAGGGUUAAGCAGAAGCAAUUUUCUGCAGUAGCCCACAGUUGCAGAUGUCAUGGCAGUUGUCAUUGCCAGCCUGCUCUAGAUUCACAUCUAAUGAUGGAACAUUGGACAAACUUCAGUGUAAAUUUUUUCAGAAAUAAAAUAACUUUUUAAAAGUUGUUUGAAAAACA